rnacentral:misc_RNA from 1 species
AAGUCGUAACAGGGUCUCCGUAGGUGAACCUGCGGAGGGAUCAUUACAGAGAACAUCGCCCUCACGGGUGACUCUCCAACCCUAUGUUAUACAACCUUUGUUGCUUUGGCGAGCCGCCUCGGCCGCUGGCUUCGGCCAUCGCGAGUGCUCGCAGGAGGCCAACCCAACUCAUGAAUUAAUUAAUGUCGUCUGAGUCCUAUAUAAUAGUUUAAAAA